rnacentral:ncRNA from 1 species
CCUGCGGGCUCCCCAUCCGACCCGUCUUGAAACACGGACCAAGGAGUCUGACAUGCGUGCGAGUCGACGGGUUUUGAAACCUGGGAUGCGCAAGGAAGCUGACGAGCGGGAGGCCCUCACGGGCCGCACCGCUGGCCGACCCCAAUCUUCUGUGAAGGGUUCGAGUUGGAGCACGCCUGUCGGGACCCGAAAGAUGGUGAACUAUGCCUGAGCGGGGCGAAGCCAGAGGAAACUCUGGUGGAGGCUCGAAGCGAUACUGACGUGCAAAUCGUUCGUCUGACUUGGGUACAGGGGCGAAAGACUAAUCGA